rnacentral:rRNA from 1 species
ACGCACGCUGGCGGCGUGCCUCAUACAUGCAGGUUGAGCGCUGAAGAUUGGUGCUUGCCCCAAUUUGAAGAGCAGCGAACGGGUGAGUAACGCGUGGGGAAUCUGCCUUUGAGCGGGGGACAACAUUUGGAAACGAAUGCUAAUACCGCAUAACAACUUUAAACAUAAGUUUUAAGUUUGAAAGAUGCAAUUGCAUCACUCAAAGAUGAUCCCGCGUUGUAUUAGCUAGUUGGUGAGGUAAGGGCUCACCAAGGCGAUGAUACAUAGCCGACCUGAGAGGGUGAUCGGCCACAUUGGGACUGAGACACGGCCCAAACUCCUACGGGAGGCAGCAGUAGGGAAUCUUCGGCAAUGGACGAAAGUCUGACCGAGCAACGCCGCGUGAGUGAAGAAGGUUUUCGGAUCGUAAAACUCUGUUGGUAGAGAAGAACGUUGGUGAGAGUGGAAAGCUCAUCGAGUGACGGUAACUACCCAGAAAGGGACGGCUAACUACGUG